UAAGCAAGAUGUGAAAUCGUACGGCUCAACCGUAACACAUAUUUUGAACUGACAAGCUAGAGUAUAUGAGAGGUCACUGGAAUUUCUAGUGUAGGAGUGAAAUCCGUAGAUAUUAGAAGGAACACCGAUGGCGUAGGCAGGUGACUGGCAUAUUACUGACGCUAAGGCACGAAAGCGUGGGGAGCGAACCGGAUUAGAUACCCGGGUAGUCCACGCCGUAAACGAUGGAUGCUA
rnacentral:rRNA from 1 species